UGCAAAGAUAUCAUAAAAGGGGAUCGGGUGCUGCUUUGGGUGAAACUGGGACGGAUCAAGGGCCCGGACACCGGAACGAUAGAGAUUUUGACCUUUCUUGCUUGAUAUUGUGGAUGGUGGUGCAUGGGUGUUCUUAGUUGGAGGAGGGAUAAGUCUGGUUCUUUCCGAUUACGAACACGAACAUAACCUAUUAAAUAGACAUCGGCUUCUCUGCAGUCGGGGGCUUUCUUAGAGGGACAAGGUGCUUUUAAGAGCGGCUAACAGACCAAUAACAAGUAGCUAAAGCCUCUAGAUGACAGGGGCCGCAGCCCCGGUCCACUGAAGGAAGCAGCGGGUGACAUCCUUGUUCUAGCGAACCGUGUAACAUAAGGAACGUCCUUCAAUAUCGGGAUAGGGAUUAGCAAUUGUGCCCCUUGAACACGGAAGUCCCUGUAAACGCUACUCCUCAGCUAGUGCUGACUACGUCUCUGCUCUUUGUACACACCGCCCGUCGCUACUACCGACUGAAUGAUCUACCGA
rnacentral:rRNA from 1 species